UGAGCCCGGGACUUCUGGGCUGUAGUGUGCUAUGCCAAUCAGGUGUCUGCACUAAGUUCAGCAUCAAUAUGGUGACCUCCCGGGAGCGGGGAACCACCAGGUUGCCUAAGGAGGGGUGAACCGACCCAGGUCGGAAACCGAGCAGGUCAAAACUCCUGUGCUGAUCAGUAGUGGGAUCGUGCCUUUGAAUAGCUACUGCACUCCAGCCUGGGCAACAU
rnacentral:sRNA from 1 species